AAAAUUAUGUCCUUCCUGCCAUAUUAUAUUUAGGAAAAAAUAAUAUCGUAUUAUACAUAUAAACAGAAGCCUCUUAAAUAAUUUUUUCCUAAAUAUAUAAUAUGGCAGGAAAGACAUAAUUUU